UACCGUGAGGGAAAGUUGCAAAGCACUUUGAAGAGAGAGUUAAAGAGGACGUGAAACCGAUAAGGUGGAAACGGAUAGAGCUGACGUAUCUAGCUUGUAUUCAGCCGCUCGUUUAGCGUAGGCCGAAUUCGCCAAUCCUGCUUCUGGUUGGUGGAUUCGUGCUGUGCACGAUCCGGCGGUGCAUUUGCAAGUGGAGUGCGCCGAGAGCCACACUGCAGCGGUUCGAGCUCCGCUCAGAGGACCCUCUCUAGGGAGGGAAACCCGAGCGGGAGGAGGACUGUUUGCGGUGUGUGCCCAUGGGAGUAUGGACUUAACACGAGCCGGUUGGCCACUUUGUCGUCGGCGAGAAGCGGUCGCAUGCGAACGUUCUCGCCGUCUACUUGUCGGUCGAUUUUGGCUCUCAUACUCGAUCUCGGUGUAAAAGUCGGUCAUCUAUCCGACCCGUCUUGAAACACGGACCAAGGAGUUUAACAAAUAUGCGAGUCAUUGAGUGUUGAAAACUCAAAGGCGCAAUGAAAGUAAAGGCACCUCUCGUAGGGCUGAUAUGCGAUCCCGGGCGUUUCGGCGCACGGGCGCAGCAUAGCCCCAUCCCGAUUGCUUGCAAUGGGGUGGAGGCAGAGCAUAUUUGCUGAGACCCGAAAGAUGGUGAACUAUGCCUGAGCAGGACGAAGCCAGAGGAAACUCUGGUGGAAGUCCGAAGCGGUUCUGACGUGCAAAUCGAUCGUCUGACUUGGGUAUAGGGGCGAAAGACUAAUCGAACCA
rnacentral:rRNA from 1 species